CGGGACGGGUGAGUAAUGUCUAGGGAAACUGCCUGAUGGGAGGGGAUAACUACGAGGAACGGACUAAUACCGCAUAACGUCGCAAGACCAAAGAGGGGGACCUUCGGGCCUCUUGCCAUCGGAUGUGCCCAGAUGGGAUUAGCUAGUAGGUGGGGUAACGGCUCACCUAGGCGACGAUCCCUAGCUGGUCUGAGAGGAUGACCAGCCACACUGGAACUGAGACACGGUCCAG
rnacentral:rRNA from 1 species